rnacentral:rRNA from 1 species
UACAGUGGAUGCAAGCGUUAUCCGGAAUGAUUGGGCGUAAAGCGUCUGUAGGUGGCUUUUUAAGUCCGCCGUCAAAUCCCAGGGCUCAACUCUGGACAGGCGGUGGAAACUACCAAGCUGGAGUCCGGUAGGGGCAGAGAGAAUUUCCGGUGGAGUGGUGAAAUGCGUAGAGAUCGGAAAGAACACCAACGGCGAAAGCACUCUGCUGGGCCGACACUGACACUGAGAGACGAAAGCUAGGGGAGCGAAUGGG